rnacentral:rRNA from 1 species
GCGCGAAACCUUCGCAAUGCGCGAAAGCGUGACGAGGGAACUCAGAGUGCCGAGCUUAGCGCUCGGCUUUUCUCGAGCCCAAACAGCUCGAGGAAUAAGUGUUGGGCAAGACCGGUGCCAGCCGCCGCGGUAACACCGGCAACACAAGUGGUAUCCACGAAUAUUGGGUCUGAAGAGUCCGUAGCUGGCCCGUUAAGUUCUUUGUGAAAUGUUGGGGCUCAACCUCAACGCGUGCAGGGAAUACUGGCGUGGCUCGGGAGCGGGGGAGGUCGAGAGUACUUACGGGGUAGGGGUAAAAUCCGUUAAUCCUGUAAGGACUCCCAGUGGCGAAGGCGCUCGACCAAAACGCGUCCGACAGUGAGGGACGAAGGCUAGGAGAACGAAUCGG